UACGUAGGGUGCAAGCGUUGUCCGGAAUUAUUGGGCGUAAAGAGCUCGUAGGCGGUUUGUCGCGUCUGCUGUGAAAACCCGAGGCUCAACCUCGGGCCUGCAGUGGGUACGGGCAGACUAGAGUGCGGUAGGGGAGAUUGGAAUUCCUGGUGUAGCGGUGGAAUGCGCAGAUAUCAGGAGGAACACCAGUGGCGAAGGCAGAUCUCUGGGCCGUAACUGACGCUGAGGAGCGAAAGCGUGGGGAGCGAACAGG
rnacentral:rRNA from 1 species